UACGGAGGAUCCGAGCGUUAUCCGGAUUUAUUGGGUUUAAAGGGUGCGUAGGCGGCCUAUUAAGUCAGGGGUGAAAGACGGUAGCUUAACUAUCGCAGUGCCUUUGAUACUGAUAGGCUUGAAUGUACUUGAGGUAGGCGGAAUGUGACAAGUAGCGGUGAAAAUGCAUAGAUAUGUCACAGAACACCAAUUGCGAAGGCAGCUUACUAAAGUAUGAUUGACGCUGAGGCACGAAAAGCGUGGGGGGGAUCAAACAGGA
rnacentral:rRNA from 1 species